rnacentral:rRNA from 1 species
AACGAACGCUGGCGGCAUGCCUAACACAUGCAAGUCGAACGAGACCUUCGGGUCUAGCGGCGCACGGGUGCGUAACGCGUGGGAACCUGCCCUUAGGUUCGGAAUAACUCCCCGAAAGGGGUGCUAAUACCGGAUAAUGUCUUCGGACCAAAGAUUUAUCGCCUUUGGAUGGGCCCGCGUUGGAUUAGCUAGUUGGUAGGGUAAAAGCCUACCAAGGCGACGAUCCAUAGCUGGUCUGAGAGGAUGAUCAGCCACACUGGGACUGAGACACGGCCCAGACUCCUACGGGAGGCAGCAGUGGGGAAUAUUGGACAAUGGGCGAAAGCCUGAUCCAGCAACGCCGCGUGAGUGAUGAAGGCCUUAGGGUUGUAAAGCUCUUUUACCCGGGAUGAUAAUGACAGUACCGGGAGAAUAAGCUCCGGCUAACUCCGUG